rnacentral:rRNA from 1 species
CAUGUAGGCGGUCUGGUAAGCCUGACGUGAAAGGCUAUGGCUCAACCAUGGCAUGGCGUUGGGAACUGCUGGACUUGAGUCACGGAGAGGGAGCUGGAAUUCCAGGUGUAGGGGUGAAAUCUGUAGAUAUCUGGAAGAACACCAGUGGCGAAGGCGAGCUCCUGGCCGAUGACUGACGCUGAGGUGCGAAAGUGUGGGGAUCAAACA